rnacentral:lncRNA from 1 species
CCGGUCUUCGCGCGUCUGCGCGCCCCUCCCUCGGCGGCGUCCCACGCCCCCUUCCGGCCGGGGGCGCGCGGGUGCGGCGGGGCGGGGCGCGGAGCGGAGCACACCCGUCCCCGUCGCUGCCCGCGGAAUGGGUGAGAUUUGUUUGUUUGUUAAUAAUCAUUUCUUCUGUCAACUCCUCCUUCAUCCAAAAAUAGCGACAAAGUGGGAAGGCCAAGUCUCACAAAACGCCCCCGCGCGAAAACAAGGGUCCGCUUGGGCUCCCUGAAACGCAUUCUUUGAGGAGUUGCCUGAAGUGUCGUAUAUUUAAUGUCCAAAAGACUGGGGUAAGGAAGAAACAGAGGCGAGUGAUUGGCAUUUUCAAAAUGCCAAAACUGGAAAGGAUCAAGUUUCAUAGAGUAUUGCUUUCAUACCCAGGAAAGUUAUUUAUCAUGGUUAUGUGAGGUGUGAAAAUGAAUUGAAAGAAUAAUUUGGAAAUGUCAUAUUGAAGUUGCACAUAGAGAGGUGCGUCAAAUUGCUUAGAAUUUGAUGCUACAAGAAACCAGUAAUGUCAAGGUUUGUAAAUACAUGAGCUCUGCAUUCCCUUUGUUAGUUUUAAGUCUCCUGAGCAAAUGACUCAAAAUGUAUCCAAAGUCUAAUGAAGUAUAACACAACAGUGUUCCCUUAAACGUAAUCUACGCCUACUGUGUAAGACUUCCAAUAUUUUAUCGUAUUUGGCUAUCUCCUGAUGAAUAAGUUGAACACUUUUUGAUUCUAACAUGAUUGAAAAGAAAUUUUGCAUAAAUAUUUUAAGGGAUAAUUUUUUUCACUUGAAUUUGAAAGGAAGAGCAUAGUAAAAUUUCUAAUGAAAACAUUUGUAUUAUAAGGUAAUUAAAUGUAUUGUCAUUGAUAGCUAAUGGAAACUAUAAUUUUUGGAGAAUAUAGACUAUAGAAUGCUCUUGAGGUGAAAUAGUGCCAAGUUUUUAUCCAAACAUAAGGCAUAGACUGCUGAAACUGAACUCUGAUUUGACUGCCUUCAUUCUUUCCCAUCUUGUUUCUAGGACAUUGCUCCAAUUUAUAAGUUUCAGAAAAUCCAUGUUUCUGAAUAAAAUCAGCAACUUCUAAUGGUUUACCAGUAUCCGAAAGUUCAGAUUCAGACUCCAGGCUACCUUUCCAGAACCAUCAUAGCUUUUUACUGGGCCUCAUAUAUUUACUGCAAAUGUAAGGGAUGUUAAAAUAGUGGUGUUAGCAUCUCAAUAGCUUCAAUUUUCAUUAUUAAAGAUCUUUUCUUUGACUCUUCAAGACUUCUUAGCCUUCAGGAGUCCUGUAGUAGAAUGCAUCUGACCAUUUAGUGACCCUCCAAAAUAGGGCAGACCUACCUGUGGAAAGGUGGAAAGGUGGGAAGGAGUGGGGGAGGUGCUUAAAAAAAAAAGCAUGGAAAGGGCUGGUCAAAUGAUAUAAAAUAUGCUGACUUCACAGUUUUAUUAAGAGUCUUUAAGGGACUCCACCCUGUCUAUCUGCUGCCCCCUCUUCAGUUUUUUGGCAUAUAUGUGUUGGGGUGACUCUGUCUUUUCCUCUUCAUUCAUUCCUGUACUUUCUAUCAAAUAUCUGCUUGAUUUUCAAAAUCCAGCUGAUGCAGAACUUUUUGACUCCAUGGUUUCACCCCUCCUACUCACAUCCCCUCCACAGUUCCCAGAUACAAAACAGAAUGUCCAUAUCAUCUAUUUUCAAACUAAAUUAUUAAAUAAAGACUAAGACUACCUCUGGACAGUAUGUUUGGCUUACCAGACAAAUUGCAAACUUCAGAGAUAUAAAGAACAUUUGUCCAAACUCUUCUUGAACCCCUUAUGCUUUCAGUACAGUGCUGAUCCCAAAAGGAAUACUGAAUCCUCUUAAGGUGGUUGUUUAUUUUGUUGUUUUUUUUUUUUUAUGUUUUGAAGAGUAGACACUCAAACUGGCAAAAUAUUUGCUUAAUGUUAUUUCUCCAAGGCCUAUUAUAUUUUAAUUAGUUUUGCUAUUGCUUAAGUACAUUUUUAGACAAUAAUAACAAAAAAAUGAGAAAGGCAUAUUUAAUAUUUUAAAAUCAGACAACCAGAGUCAAAAGAAAAAAAAUACAGUAGGUAACAUUAGAAUACAGCAAUUAUUGAACCUUCAAUAACACAAAUGUAUGUUUUUUUUUUGCAUGGCAGUUUUUAAUGCAAAGCUUUGAGGUUACAUAUUGGGAAGGAAAUUCAUGAGCCAGCUUGUUAUUAUUGCCUUAAAAACUAAAGGAUUUGAGCUGUAUCAUCAACUUUGAGAAUUUUUUUUAAAAUUCCCAAUGUGUUUCAUUUAUUCAACAGCGAAUGAUAAACAGGAGGAGAGUCUGCUUCUUUAAUACUUGUUUUCCAAACUGUAAAUCUACAUUGCAAAUGCUCUACAUAAAGAAUAUUGGCUGUCACUGAUGCUUAGUUAGUGGAGGAAAGAACACAUUUAUAUUAGAUGUGGAUCACUCUAUCUAGCAUGAUAUAAUAGAAACAGUAGCUAGCAUCUUUGGUGUCAGAUUAAAGUCUGAAAGUUUUACAUCUAUCUAUCUAUCUAUCUAUCUAUCUAUCUAUCUAUUUAUUGCUGUAUGGCCUAGGGCAAGACAGCCAGUCUCUCUCUCUGGUAAUAACUUUCCUCACCUGUGAAGUGGCAAUCAUAUCUACCUUCCCCAAUUGAUGUGAGUAUUACAUGAAAUUAAGUAGGUGCUCAAUAUGGAUGUUAGAAUUAUUUUCUUGCAAAAGGCAAAAAUAGACCAGUUUUAUAUGAGGGAUUAUUCUUAUGCCAAUGAAUGACAAAUAUCUUCAUGCUUAUGCAGCUAUAUUUUAAAAUUGGAAUAAUUCAGGCCAGGACAGAAAACAUAUUCUGGUUGAAUUACACAAUUUUAAAUGGAAAAGCUUAUAUCAUCAGUAAAAUAUUAUGCUUGGUUUAAUUACUUGGUUACAUUUUACAUUUCCAAACCUUAACACAUGCCUCAAAAUUACAAAUCAAGUUUUACUGUGGAGGUAAGGUGUUUUAGUUCAGGACUUUUGUUUCUAGUCAAGCUACUGUUUCUUCGCUAAUAUUUAUAUAAUCAAAAAUUUUAUUUUGUGUCUCAAAAUCUUAAUAAUUCUGAGUCUAAUUAGUGGUAGAGUUGCAAUUAUAUCAAAAUUUUGCCUUUAUUAUGAUCAAAGGGAGGUGUAAGGUAAGUAGAAUAUCUGAUUAAAUAAACAGUAAGCAGCCUGACACGGGGGCACACAUCUGUAAUCCCAAUGAUUCACAGAGGCUGAGACAGGGGAAUCGAAAGAUUGAGACCAAUAUGGGCAAUUUAUUGACACCCUGCCUCAAAAUAAAAAGGACUGGGCUCUAGCUCAGUGGUACAGCACUUGCCUAGCAUUUGUGCAAAGUCCCAGGUUCAAUCACUGGUACCAAAACAAAACAAAAAGUAAAAACCUAAUAACAAUAAAUAAAUAAAAAUAAAAAAAUAAAUGGAAAGGAACAUUUUAUAUUUCAAAAGGAAAAAAAAAUAAUUUUGGGUGAAAUAGCUUUGUGAAACAAUGCAUAUAACAUCCCUUCCUCUUCUACUUUGUCCCAGUCACAAAUGUUAAAGACUUGAAAAGUCCUCAAAUUUUAUUUUAAAUUAUCACAAUUUAACUUUGUUUAGCCCAGUUGUUCUAAAAUUCAUUUCAGCAGCAAAUAUUUUGGUUCCCUCGAUAUAUCUCUUGACAUUUCCAGGGAUACCAAUAGAGUAAUUUGCAAUAGAAUAAAAGUGAAUGAAAGGAAAAGUUAAUCAAUAGGAGUAAACUCUUCAAAAACUUGCAAAUAUUUACUUAUUAAUCAUGUAAUUUAACUAUGGUAGUCUGAAUUUGAUUGAUUCUUUGAUAUAUACUUAUGAGCCAUUAUUAUAAAGUAUGACUAGUUAUUAUAGAUAUUUAAGGUAAUAAGAUUGUAUAGUUAAGAUUUAUAACUCAAACCUGUUACUUAUUCCUAGAAGUUUCCAUAUUAGCAAAAAUUUAAGAAUUAUUGUAUUAGUUGCUUUUCCUCAUGAGGUAGCACUAAUAAAACAAUCUACUAUUUUGAUUUGCUCUAUUUUCUUAAGUACACACCAGAGGGAGAAGAAGGUAUUG